rnacentral:rRNA from 1 species
UACGUAGGGGGCAAGCGUUGUCCGGAAUCAUUGGGCGUAAAGAGCGCGUAGGCGGCCCAGUAAGUCCGCUCUGAAAGUCAGAGGCUCAACCUCUGAAUGCGGGUGGAUACUGCUGGGCUAGAGUCCGGAAGAGGCGAGUGGAAUUCCUGGUGUAGCGGUGAAAUGCGUAGAUAUCAAGAGGAACACCAGUGGCGAAGGCGAAUCCCUGGACGAUACCUGACACUGAGGCACGAAAGCUAGGGGAGCAAACAGG